rnacentral:tRNA from 1 species
GGAGGGAUGGCCGAGUGGUCGAUGGCGGCGGUCUUGAAAACCGUUGACCAGCAAUGGUCCGUAGGUUCGAAUCCUACUCCCUCCG